AUGGUGAAAAAAGAAGUAGAAAUCGUGGCCCACCUCUGUCUUGGGGCCGUCGUCCUUGAGAUGAUUAUCGUAGGAGGAGUCCUCCACCUCGUCGCAGAUCUCCAAGAAGGAGAAGCUUUUCUCGCAGCCGGAGCAGGUCCCUCUCUAGAGAUAGGAGAAGAGAGAGAUCGCUGUCACGGGAGAGAAAUCACAAGCCGUCCCGAUCCUUCUCUAGGUCUCGUAGCCGUUCUAGGUCAAAUGAAAGGAAAUAGAAGACCAGUUUGCAAGAGAAGUGGUGUACAGGAAAUUACUUCAUUUGACAGGAGUAUGUACAGAAAAUUCAAGUUUUGAGAUCAAUAGAGCGCCGGCACUCUUCAUUGGCAAUAUAGCAAGUGUCAGGCUCACACUUUGAACUGUCUGGCACAUCUCCGUGCAACGAGACCUGGAAUCACCAGGGUUAGGUUCAGAGGGUAGCACUUAGCCCAAACCAGCUACGCUCCAAUUCCUUCAGGAUGCACCCAAUUUUCCCCUUUUAAUUUUUUUUUUACUGGAGAGUGAUUGGGGGAGAUAGUAGUAAAAAUGAACCUUUGCUUACUUUUUCACACCUUACGAAUAUGUUAGAUAUGUUAGCAUGUACCCAUUAUUUUGCUAAUAAACCAACUUAUCAUCUCUAAGCAUUAUUUUUCACAACAUCUAAAUUGUAAAAUAACAUGGACCGUGAAAUAAAAUUCAAAAUGGACAACAUUGGUUCCAACAUUCUGAGUUCUUUAUGCAAUCCCAGUUGUUCACGUUUGUGCUCCAUCUACACACAGCUUUUUUCAGACUUUCACAUUUCUGUCACAAGGGAGCAGCCAGCAGUGCUUUGCUCAUUCUGGGUAUGCUGUUUUGAAGGCAAAAAGGAACUCUGGAGUCUUGGGAGCCUCUACCAGCUGGAAUCCAUGAGGUUGCAUUCUGACAUUUCGGUUUAGUGGUAAUUGGGUGAAUAAGCCAUGUUAAGAGGUUCUACUGUUGAAGGGACUGAGUGUAUUUGUGGCCGGGAGAUCUCACCUGCGUCUCCUUGAGACUGUUUAUUAUUCCCAUAUGACAUGGAUGCCCUGAAAGAGAUUAAUGUUUGCUACCACUCCCAAUGUUGAAUAAAGCAGUAAAUACCGGAACAAGCAGAGCUUCACUGUAGUGUUCUCGGUGUGCUGUGGCUGGAACCUCAGUUACAAUGGCCUAUAGCGAACUGCUUUAGUGUCCAUUAUAAUAAAAUAAGGACUUCUGGUGAAUCUCCAAAGUUUUAAUUACGCUCCUUUCUCUCUCUCUCUUCAGGGUGCUAUUAAGUGUUUUCAUUGUCCUCUUAGUUUUACUUGGGACACAUAUGCUAUUGUACAUGUUGUAACAAGAUGUGUGGCCUGCAUUGGC
rnacentral:lncRNA from 1 species